GGAAAGGUGACCGAGUGGCCGAAGGUGCGUGACUGGAAAUCACGUGUGCGGGCAACCGUACCGGGGGUUCGAAUCCCUCCCUUUCCGCCA
rnacentral:tRNA from 1 species